GGUGACAGGAUGUUUUUGUUGGUAUUAGGAUAUCUGCACAUUCCACACCAGUGCAACAGCCUGCCGGCCAAAUUUUAAAAGCUCCUGGUGCCAGGAAAUAUCCAGCACAUUCUCUGCACUGGAAACCUUUGCACCAAGGAGAGCUAUGACUAUCUCAAGACUCUGGCUGGUGACUUUGAUGAGAGUCUGAAUUACCUGGAACAGAAGGUUGUGACUGUGGGGCAGUUCAAGAUCGGUCUGAUCCACGGACACCAAGUUAUUCCGUGGGGAGACAUGGCUAGUUUAGCCCUGCUGCAGAGGCAGUUUGAUGUGGACAUUCUUAUCUCAGGACACACACACAAAUUUGAAGCAUUUGAGCAUGAAAAUAAAUUCUACAUUAACCCAGGUUCUGCCACUGGAACCUAUAAUGCCUUGGAAACGAAUAUUAUUCCGUCAUUUGUGCUGAUGGAUAUCCAGGCUUCUACCGUGGUCACUUACGUCUAUCAGCUAAUUGGAGAUGACAUGAAAGUAGAACGAAUUGAGUAUAAAAAGUCGUAAAGCCAGGCCGGUCUCCGCCACUUUGUUUUGUUUUGUUUUGUUUUUUUCCUCAUUUUCUUGUACAAAUCAAAUAAUUAAACACUUAAGAGGCCCACAGUUAUAUCACUUUUAUAAUAU